CAGUACAAGCCAAAUUAAGGUGAAACCGCGAAAGGCUCAUUAAAUCAGUUAUGGUUCCUUAGAUCGUACCCACAUUUACUUGGAUAACUGUGGUAAUUCUAGAGCUAAUACACGAAAACAGAGCUCCGACCAGAGAUGGAAGGAGUGCUUUUAUUAGAUCAAAACCAAUCGGCGGCAGGCACUUGUGUCUGUUCGUCGCCCUUUUUGGUGACUCUGAAUAACUUUAUGCUGAUCGCACGGUCUUGCACCGGCGACGCAUCUUUCAAAUGUCUGCCUUAUCAACUGUCGAUGGUAGGUUCUGCGCCUACCAUGGUUGUAACGGGUAACGGGGAAUCAGGGUUCGAUUCCGGAGAGGGAGCCUGAGAAACGGCUACCACAUCCAAGGAAGGCAGCAGGCGCGCAAAUUACCCACUCCCGGCACGGGGAGGUAGUGACGAAAAAUAACGAUACGGGACUCAUCCGAGGCCCCGUAAUCGGAAUGAGUACACUUUAAAUCCUUUAACCAGGAUCAAUUGGAGGGCAAGUCUGGUGCCAGCAGCCGCGGUAAUUCCAGCUCCAAUAGCGUAUAUUAAAGUUGUUGCGGGUAAAAAGCUCGUAGUUGAAUUUGUGUCCCGUGCUGUCGGUUCACCGCCCGCGGUGCUUACUGGCACGUCUCACGGGACGUUCUGGCCGUGG
rnacentral:rRNA from 1 species